CAGCGUUUUAUUCCUGUUUCAGCGUUUUAUCCCCAUUUCAGCGUUUUACCCCCAUUUCAGCGUUUUAUCCCCAUUUCAGCGUUUUAUUCCCAUUUCAGCGUUUUACCCCCAUUUCAGCGUUUUACCCCUAUUUCAGCGUUUUAUUCCUGUUUCAGCGUUUUAUCCCCAUUUCAGCGUUUUACCCCCAUUUCAGCGUUUUAUCCCCAUUUCAGCGUUUUAUUCCCAUUUCAGCG